UACGGGGGGGGUAAGCGUUGUUCGGAAUUACUGGGCGUAAAGGGCUCGUAGGCGGCCAACUAAGUCAGACGUGAAAUCCCUCAGCUUAACUGGGGAACUGCGUCUGAUACUGGAAGGCUUGAAUCCGGGAGAGGGAUGUGGAAUUCCAGGUGUAGCGGUGAAAUGCGUAGAUAUCUGGAGGAACACCGGUGGCGAAGGCGACAUCCUGGACCGGUAUUGACGCUGAGGCGCGAAAGCCAGGGGAGCAAACGGG
rnacentral:rRNA from 1 species